GUCGAGCAUGGCCCAGGAAUUGUGGUAUAAUCUGGCUUGGUGACGUUGGUAGAACAUGACCCAGGCACUGUAGUAUAAUCUGGCUCAAGAACAACAGUGUAGCCUGGCUCAGGCACUUUGGUGCUGCAUGGUUCUGGAAUCUUGGUGUUUCCUGGUUGUGGAACACCAGUGUGGCAUGGUUCGGAGGUGGCUAUGGGAACAAAUUUUCCUUGUGGUGGAGGCUGACAAGGUUGCUUCACUUGAUGCUGUUGAGGCUGAGGAGGUGCAACGAAGGGCUGCUUUUGCUGGUAUCAUUCCUAAAAAGAUUAGAGGCUGCUCAGAUUAUGAUACUGAGAACCCAAAGUACCAUGUAGACUCAUGAGGUUUGAUUCUGAUGUCUUCUGAGAUCAAGAAGGAAGAUCAUAUACGCCUAAUAGGCAAUCAUUUAUACCAAUAUUUUCUGGCGCCUGAAAACUUACUAUGAAGAAAUUAUGGAGAAGACUAGAUGUCACUCACAGAUCUCAGAUGUUUCCUGUAUAGUGUGUCAACCCAGAUUCCAUUGGCAAUUGCUUAGACAUGUGUGACAGCUGUGUGAAGAUGUUGUCCAACAAGGUGAUGAGUAGUUGUCAAACUGGUAGAAAGUGUGACAUCAUCUGUUCUGUAAGGGAUGGGCAUGCUGAUGUAGGUCCAUAUCAUUGCUUAUUUUAGUGAUAAAAGGUUCCAAAACCAAGAAAUGACUCCUGUAUUUAUUAUAGUUACAUACCCUGAUUCAGAGAGGGGAAAUGGUAUCUAAAAUCCACAGUUAUUGAUAAUAGAAAUAUGAGAGUCUUUAAACAUUUCAUAAGAGGAUUUGUCUAGAAGUUCUU